UACGGGGGGAGCAAGCGUUGUUCGGAUUUACUGGGCGUAAAGGGCGCGUAGGCGGUCAGCACAAGUCAGUUGUGAAAUCUCCGGGCUUAACUCGGAAAGGUCAACUGAUACUGUGCGACUAGAGUGCAGAAGGGGCAACUGGAAUUCUCGGUGUAGCGGUGAAAUGCGUAGAUAUCGAGAGGAACACCUGCGGCGAAGGCGGGUUGCUGGGCUGACACUGACGCUGAAGCGCGAAAGCUAGGGGAGCAAACGGG
rnacentral:rRNA from 1 species